AUUGAACGCUGGCGGCAGGCCUAACACAUGCAAGUCGAGCGGAGCGGAGGACGGGUGAGUAAUGCCUAGGAAUCUGACUGGUAGUGGGGGAUAACGUCCGGAAAGGGGCGCUAAUACAGCACACUAUCAGAUGCACCUAGGUGGGAUUAGCUAGAUGGUGGGGUAAAGGCCAACCAAGGCGACGAUCCGUAACUGGUAUGAGUGGAUGAUCAGUCAAACUGGAACUGAGACACGGUCCAGACGCCUACGGGAGGCAGCAGUGGGGAAUAUUUGACAAUGGGCGAAAGCCUGAGCCAGCCAUGCCGCGUGUGUGAAGAAGGUCUUCGGAUUGUAAAGCACUUUAAGUUGGGAGGCGUUACCAGCAGAAUAAGCACCGGCUAACUUCGUGCCAGCAGCCGCGGUAAUUC
rnacentral:rRNA from 1 species